CCAGAGGCCCAGCUGGCCUCCCUGAGCCUCGGUCUUCUGUAAGCAGAACCAACCUCACCGGUGCCUGCCUCAUAAAGCCGAGAGCAGAAUUCAAGAAUGAACCAGAAGCACUGUCCCAAAAGGGUUAAAAUAGCCCAGUGCGUGGGACAGCACACAGGAAGCACAGGAAAUGUUAGGUGGCGCAGUAACCCCAGCAAGCCACGGGCCCAGGGCUCGCCACAGCCUGCAGGUUUGUAAUCCCCAGACCUUCACGGACUCCGGGGGCGCAGGCCCACGCGUGGGUCCAGACGAACGCCGAGCAGUACGGGGUGUCCGUGCGACCCCGUGGUACAUGGCCAGAGAGAGAAUGAAGUUCUGGUAAGCGCUCCAAGAUGAGGCCCUGAGAACAUCAGGUCGUUUCUGGAAGGCCACGGGGAGGCUGUGGACAGCAAUUAGUCCCUCCAGAGAUGAGCAGGAAGGAGAUGUUUUACUUAAGUUCUCACCAUGAGCAUGUAUUACUUUUGUAACAAAGUAACAGUUUAACAUGUAAUUAAGCUCUGAAACAAGAAGCUUUAACUCUUAUGACCACCCCAACUAACCGAAGAGGAACGUGGCUCCUGGGCCUCACCUCCUCCAGGAAGUCCUUCUACAGGCCCAGCGCCCCAGCUACACCACCUUCCCCAGAUGGAAAGGAGCACCCUGCCUGCCGCCUUUCCUCAUCUGCCUCUCCCGUGAAGCUAGGAGGGCCUGGACGGAGGGGCCUGUCUGACUCAUCCCGGAUCCCCGGUUCCGGCAAGACGCCUGGCACUGCUGAGUGAAGGAAUGAGGCUCAGAGAGGUUAGAGCAGCGGCCUUGACCUCUGGAGAUCACAGAGUACGUGGUUUGGCAGGGUGAGACCCAGUCUCUGGGCUCUAACCUCACCACACCCUGACUUCUGUAGCAUGGCUCCCUCCCACUCACUAAAAAUGUCCCAAAGAGGCCACCUAGAUGUCACUACACGGCCUCCAGCCCUUGUGUAGGUGUUGUGGCAUUCAGGUUUGGGAGCAAAGAUUGUUCAGGGCCCGGGGGUAGCUGGAAAUGCCCAUGUGUACAUUAGGAAAGCCAUAAAAGGAGGGUAAUUUGCCCCUUUGGCCAAGAACGUCAUAAAAUAAAGAGUGGUUUGCC